rnacentral:rRNA from 1 species
CGGGGUGAGUAACACGUAGGAAUCUGCCCUAUAGAGGGGGAUAACCCGAGGAAACUCGGGCUAAUACCGCAUAGUCUCUGAGGAGUAAAGCUGGGGUAACCUGGCGCUAUGGGAGGAGCCUGCGUCUGAUUAGCUAGUUGGUAGGGUAAAAGCCUACCAAGGCGACGAUCAGUAGCUGGUCUGAGAGGAUGAUCAGCCACACUGGGACUGAGACACGGCCCAG